GCGAAAGUGGUGGAAUUGGCAGACACGUCAGACUUAGGAUCUGAUGCCGCGAGGCCUGGGGGUUCGAGUCCCCCCUUUCGCA
rnacentral:tRNA from 1 species